rnacentral:rRNA from 1 species
CAGUAGCCGCGGGAAUACAGAGGGUGCGAGCGUUAAUCGGAUUUACUGGGCGUAAAGCGUGCGUAGGCGGCUAAUUGAGUCGGAUGUGAAAUCCCUGAGCUUAACUUAGGAAUUGCAUUCGAUACUGGGAAGCUAGAGUAUGGGAGAGGAUGGUAGAAUUCCAGGUGUAGCGGUGAAAUGCGUAGAGAUCUGGAGGAAUACCGAUGGCGAAGGCAGCCAUCUGGCCUAAUACUGAAGCUGAGGUACGAAAGCAUGGGGAGCAAACAGGAUUAGAUACCCCUGUAGUCCCUGUCUCUUAUAC